AACGAACGCUGGCGGCAUGCCUAACACAUGCAAGUCGAACGAGACCUUCGGGUCUAGUGGCGCACGGGUGCGUAACGCGUGGGAACCUGCCCUUAGGUUCGGCAUAACUCCCCGAAAGGGGUGCUAAUACCGGAUAAUGUCUUCGGACCAAAGAUUUAUCGACUUUGGAUGGGCCCGCGUUGGAUUAGCUUGUUCGUAGGGUAAAAGCCUACCAAGGCGACGAUCCAUAGCUGGUCUGAGAGGAUGAUCAGCCACACUGGGACUGAGACACGGCCCAGACUCCUACGGGAGGCAGCAGUGGGGAAUAUUGGACAAUGGGCGAAAGCCUGAUCCAGCAAUGCCGCGUGAGUGAUGUAGGCCUUAGGGUUGUAAAGCUCUUUUACCCGGGAUGAUAAUGACAGUACCGGGAGAAUAAGCUCCGGCUAACUCCGUG
rnacentral:rRNA from 1 species